rnacentral:tmRNA from 1 species
UCAUCUAGAGGGAUCCACCGGUACGUCCGGUCGCGGGACGUAACGGGACAUCAAACAGCGACUGGGAUCGUCAUCCUGAACUUGUUCGCGUGAGCAGGAGAUCCGAGUAGAGACACAGCGAACUGCGCACGGAGAAGCCUUGAGGGAAUGCCGUAGGACCCGGGUUCAAUUCCCGGCAGCUCCACAA